rfam:Anopheles sinensis unplaced genomic scaffold AS2_scf7180000696126, whole genome shotgun sequence.
GGCAGCUUCAAUUCCGUAGUGCAUUGCAGUGUAGACCGUACGAACACGACUGCAAGCAUUGUGGGAGUGAAGCGGACCG